rnacentral:rRNA from 1 species
CCUACGGGUGGCAGCAGUGAGGAAUAUUGGUCAAUGGGCGCGAGCCUGAACCAGCCAAGUAGCGUGAAGGAUGACUGCCCUACGGGUUGUAAACUUCUUUUAUAAAGGAAUAAAGUGAGGCACGUGUGCCUUUUUGUAUGUACUUUAUGAAUAAGGAUCGGCUAACUCCGUGCCAGCAGCCGCGGUAAUACGGAGGAUCCGAGCGUUAUCCGGAUUUAUUGGGUUUAAAGGGAGCGUAGAUGGGUUUUUAAGUCAGUUGUUAAAGUUUGCGGCUCAACCUUAAAAUUGCAAUUGAUACUGGAAGUCUUGAGUACAGUUGAGGUAGGCGGAAUACGUGGUGUAGCGGUGAAAUGCUUAGAUAUCACGAAGAACUCCGAUUGCGAAGGCAGCUUACCAAACUGCGACUGACAUUGAUGCUCGAAAGUGUGGGUAUCAAACAGGAUUAGAUACCCUUGUAGUC